rnacentral:lncRNA from 10 species
UUGAGGUAAGAACAUAUUUUAGUAAGCUCAAGAAUAGUUUUCUAAUUCAUUUUAAUUCCUGGGAAUUGAUAAUGUAAGAAAACAAACAAGGUAGCCAAGAAAGUGGUCUUCCUUAUUGCAGAGACAGAAGGCAACAAAUUAGUAUUAAUUUGUUAUGAAUGCAUCACAGAAGGUACAAGCAAAAUUCCUGUUACAUAUUUGAAAAUAACAACAGAAAUUUGCAACAUUAUCUGCCAUUAAAUAUGUGCAGAGAAAUCAGGGCUAGUAUUGUCUUAGAGGUAACUUGAAGGUUACUUGAAGGUUACUUAAAGGUUACAGGCUGGCCAAGUGGAACUAGGCCAAUACUUGCAGCCUUACUUUGUUUUAAGUUAAAAUAUAACAACUCUAUGGAAAUGACUUGUCCAAUUGUUCAAUCCUUGCUAAGUCUCUAGCACACAUUUUUAUUCUGUUGAUACUUAUUUCGUGUGUGAUAAUAAACUAUGUAAUUUAAACAGAAUGUUAAAUUCAAAGUAUUCAGAAAACAUUUUUGGAUGUAUUAGGUAAAUGCAUCAGACCAUGAGGAGGUAUCCUGGAAACACUACUGACACCUCAUAAAGUGAACUUCAUAUAUGUAUAUAUGAAGGGCAGUUUAUUAUGUAAACAAUCUCACAUGAUCACAAGAUGAAGUCCCACAAUAGGCCGUCAGCAAGCUGAGGAAGGAGGAAGCCGGUCCAAGUCCCAAACCCUAAAAAGUAGGAAAGCUGACAGUGCAGCUUUCAGUCUGUGGAGGAAGGCCUGAGAGCCCCUGGCAAAUCACUGGUGUAAGUCCAAAAGUCCAAAAGCUGAAGAACUUGGAGUCUGAUGUUUGAGGUCAGGAAGCAUACAGCACAGGAGAAAAAUGAAGGCUGGAAGACUCAGCAAGUCUGCUCUUUCCAACUUCUUCUGCCUCCUUUAUUCUAGCUACAUUGAAAGCUGAUUAGAUGGUGGCCACCCAGAUGGAGGGCGGGUCUGCCUCUCCCAGUCCACGGACUCAAAUGUUAAUCUUCUUUGGCAACACCCUCACGGACACACACACCCAGGAACAAUACUAUGCAUCCUUUAAUCCCAUCAAGUUGACGCUCAAUAUUAAUCAUCACAUCACUGUAUUUUCUUCUAUUAACGCAGUAUAUGCACUUUUAUGUAUGAUUCUAUGCAUGUAGGCUUCCUGGAACAACCAUUUGGAUGAAUUCAAUUGUCCAGUCAACAUAUAAUUAAUUCUGCAAACAACUUACUUGGCAUUUUUACUAUGGAAUGGUAAAAAAAAAAAAAGUGACCUAAUUGCUUUGAAACUGCUGAUUUUUGUGUAUCCCUGUCAUUGGAAUUACAGGUGCGGUAUUCACAGAAACUGUACCAUAGCAUUGGAAAAACAGGGAAAGACAAGAUCAUCUCUUCUUUAUGUUUUGUUAACACUUGUCACCCUUAAGAUGUCUUUUGUUGUAGGAGCUUAACAAAUAUAUCUUUGUGAUGGAUGGAGGUAACCCAAGUGAGUACAAAUAAAUUAUGACAGACAAGAUAACUUUUCUUACCUCCUCAUGCAAUGGUAAUAUUUGUAGAAUAUGUUGUCAGUUUCCAAACAAAAUAUGUCAAAGAAUAAACUUCCAAUAAAUAUCCCCAGAUAUUCUAAUCACGGCUUUAAAUAGGUAACAUGGUCUUUGUGGAAAUAAGAGAUCCAGUUGAUGACAAAGCAACGAAUGAGACUGAAUGUCAACAAAGUUAUAUGAAAGGUAUUUAUUCACCUGAGGACAGAUUAGAAAGGUAGCAAACACUUGGGAAUAUUUUAUCUUUGGAAAAAUAAUGAAGUAUUUGAUCAUAAAGAUCUGCUAAAGUAAAAUAGAGCAUAUGCCUCAUGACAUUUAAUUAAUCAUUAAUUUCAUGCCUGUGUAUUGUGGGUUAAAAAGAUGUUUUCAAUAUGAAUUGAUCCAAAACAACUCUUUAAGUUAGUAUUAUUAAAAUACAUCAUUUAUAUAACAAAUUUUCACAGCCAGAGAAUGUGGAAGCAUAAAAUGCCAAUGGUCACUGUAUCUCAAUUCAUUUUCUGCCAACUUAUUUUCUCUCUGCAAUGGGGAAAGGAUUCCCUAUUUAAUAAAUGGUGCUGGGAAAACUGGGUAGCUAUAUGGAGA